AACCACGCCCGAGGCCCUGCUCUUACAGAUCUGGGCGUUCGGAUACUGCGGUUCUGGUUCCCUCCCCAAAAUUGCUAGUCCCAGAUCGGACUGCGGGUUUCCUCCCCGAUUUCCCCACCCGGUUCCUCUCCCUUAGUCUGCUAUCGGGCCGGAGCUCCCAGUCCUUCCUCGGCCUCCUCGGAGCCCCUAAGAGCCACCAGCCUCACCCCCGGCCAAGCCUGAGUUGUCUGCGCCUGCGCAUUCGCGCCGUGGGUUUGCGCUCCCAGGAGUCUCCGGGGCGGCCCAUUAGGAGCUGCGCGGUCCUGGUUCCCCGCGCUCCGCGGUUUUAUCAACCUGGGCUAGCUCGGGCUUGGACUAGGUUUAUCCCAGACCCCCAGGUCUGCCAAUGACAUGCGAUCUCUGGUUCAUUUUCUUCUGGACUUGAAGUCAUCAUUUUCUGUGGAUUUGGAGUCCAGAUGUUCGAUAAAGACAUUUUUGAGGAGGAAAAAACGGUUCCCAGUGUGAGAUAAUAGAAGAAAAGACAUGACCUGGAGGACUUCCUUUUCAAAAGUAACUGGAGGAACUUCCUGAAAGCAAUCAGUUCCAGGUGGUUUGCUCCUCCAUGAUAUCAUUUCGUCCACCUCAGGACUAUGAACAGAUCUGGAAGUAUUGCAUGGAAAGUGCCAGAGCUGGGACCACCUUGAACAUCUUAUUGCUUUUACCCCAGGCUAAGUAGCUAGCUGAAGUUCUAAAAGUUCAUAGUGUCUUUGAAAAGCAAGCUACUUUCUCUUAGCACUGGGAGAAAAGGAAAACUUCCAGGUGCAGUUCUGAAAACAACUGUUCUCACCCCCUAACCCCAGGCUUCCCCAGGUGCAGUUUUUGUCUUCUUUCUCUAGUGUUACAACAUCAGUAUGUCCCAUUAUAACUUUACUGUUUUUCCUCAUUAUUUUUCUCAUUCCUUUUGUUUGCAAAGGACAAAAGAGGGAUAAAAGUAUUUUCAUGUUAAAACAUUUGUAUGUAAUAUAACCAGAAAGAUACUUUAAAGAAACAGUGGGGACAAAAUCCUGAAGCUUAUGAUUUUGUUUUCAAGUGAGUUCACAUAGCUUUCCACCCAUUUUAUCCUGUUUAUCCAAUAAGUAGCCCAGGAAAGAGCAGUUUCUUUCUGGGGAAAUUUGUGUUUAAUAAUCAAACUGCCUUGCUAAAGUAUGUGUGACAGUAUAGAUAAGAAAUGCAGGGCUGGUGAUACAGCUCAGUUGGUAGAGUGCUUGCCUAGCAUGCACAAGGCCCUGGGUUCAAUCCCCAGUACCACAAAAAGAAAAGAAAAGAAAAAAAAAGAAAAAGAAAUGCAGAGUCAGAGGGCUAUGG